CCUACGGGUGGCAGCAGUGGGGGAUAUUGCACAAUGGGGGAAACCCUGAUGCAGCGACGCCGCGUGUGGGAAGACGGUCCUCUGGUUUGUAAACCACUGUCCCCAGGGACGAAGAUGACGGUACCUGGGGAGGAAGCUCCGGCUAACUACGUGCCAGCAGCCGCGGUAAUAGGUGGGGAGCGAGCGUUGUCCGGAAUUACUGGGUGUAAGGGGAGCGUAGGCGGGACUGCAAGUUGGGUGUAAAAUCUACCGGCUCAACCGGUAGCCGCACUCAAAACUGCAGUUCUUGAGUGAAGUAGAGGCAGGCGGAAUUCCUAGUGUAGCGGUGAAAUGCGUAGAUAUUAGGAGGAACACCAGUGGCGAAGGCGGCCUGCUGGGCUUUUACUGACGCUGAGGCUCGAAAGUGUGGGGAGCAAACAGGAUUAGAUACCCUUGUAGUC
rnacentral:rRNA from 1 species